CUUAAAGGGAAACGACUUUGGACUCACGUAGGCAUAGGAGAACGAAACUUCUGUACAUUUUAAUCUGAAUAAUUCUUCAGGAUUUAAAAUUAAUUGGCUCUGGCUUGGUUGGACCGUACUCGGAUCUCGCCACCUCUGCGUUUCCCGAGUCACUGGCGAAGAGGUCCCAGUUCCUCUGGGAAUCGUCCUGUAUGCAACAUCUUCACAAGAGUGGCAGGCAGUUGAAUCUCUGGCCUUCGUGGGACCACUGGACAUCUGGCAGAGAACCAGGAAACCACGGUUCCCUUCUGUGAGUCCCUCAGCCGGAAAACUACAAGAAUGAAAAAAAUGCAUGGCAUACAUCACCAAGAAUCAAAGGUUGUGCCUGGCAGUGUAAUUGACUAUGUAAUAAAGAGAGAAGCUUUGCUAGCUCCUCAUGCAGCUGCUGUCUACAGACCCCCUGGACUGCCUGGGGAAGUGAGUCGGAGCUCCUGCAGCAGAGGGGUGGAACAGCUACACGAAGAUCCGAAGGUGGCCAAAAAUAACAGCGCUUUCCAGAUGAGGGAGCCAGUUGUCCAGCACAGUGUCAUGGGACAGUGGGCCCUGGUGCCACAAUGCCCGGCAUCUCCACCAGAUACAGCUUUGAGAUCUUCAUGAUGAAGCUUGCUCCAAUCCAAGGGCUGUCAGGUGGGGUUUGCGGUUCAGCUGCUAACCUUUCUUUGAUCCAAAUCCUGUCUUCACUGGCUUCAAGAAUCCUGUCUUCACUGGCUUCAAAACUGGGAUGAAGGAGGCUCCUUAGUGGAGAGCAAAGCAAAGAGAAACUCAAAUUGGAUCCAUAUUAAAGAAGAGAAGGAUGGAUUUGUUUAGACAACACAAACCUAGGAAGGGUUUGAGAGGUGAAACAAACUGGGUUAUGGAUGAACGGGGGCAAUUGGAAUGUAGAAUUGAAGCAGUAAUUAACAUCUUGGUUUCAUCUGGGUGUUUGGCAUCAUGUUCAGAAAUGUGAAAAAUAAAAUUCAGCACCGUUAUUACUGAAUUAGAUAAAAUGAUUGUAUUUAAUUAAUCCGUAAAUAUUAACUAAUUAUUCUGUUUACCAUAACAUGUAAUGAAUAUAAUUCUCCACCAGGCAAAUAAAGAAAGAAAGAUGUAAUUAGGUGAUUUAAGCAUAAAA
rnacentral:lncRNA from 1 species